AAAAAAUGUUUUGUGUCUGAUGUAAGGCUGUUACGAUUUACUCGCAUAUUGGGUGAAUCGAACCAAAGCCCUUCAUGAAUUCAAUUUGUUAUUCAUGGUCACCAGAACCGAAUAUUAAUGAAUAUUUAUGAUUUCUUUAAGGGAGUGUGUUUUACUUGAACCCUUAUAUCUUUUUUCAAAGUGAGAUCAGUAAGAAUGGAAUAUGUACUUCUCUUGCAGUAGUGCAAGUCAUGUUAGUUUGCCAAGGCCGCACAUG